ensembl:lncRNA
UUUUGGAGUUACCAAUGACCAGCUUGGUGGAGACGGUAUCAAUGACCAGCUUGGUGGAGUGGAGGAGUUACCAAUGACCAGCUUGGUGGAGUGGAGGAGUUACCAAUGACCAGCUUGGUGGAGUGGAGGAGGUACCAAUGACCAGCUUGGUGGAGGAGUUACCAAUGACCAGCUUGGUGGAGGAGGUACCAAUGACCAGCUUGGUGGAGUGGAGGAGUUACCAAUGACCAGCUUGGUGGAGGAGGUACCAAUGACCAGCUUGGUGGAGUGGAGGAGUUACCAAUGACCAGCUUGGUGGAGUGGAGGAGUUACCAAUGACCAGCUUGGUGGAGGAGUUACCAAUGACCAGCUUGGUGGAGUGGAGGAGUUACCAAUGACCAGCUUGGUGGAGGAGGUACCAACGACCAGCUUGGUGGAGUUCAAAUGUGCCAAAACCAGCCUGGAGAUGACUUUGUCACAGUCUAAGGAUCCAGUAGUCAAGAACACUGCUCCAGCAGUAAAAAACAGGGAAGAAGUGGAAUCCACAAGAAGCGGUUCAACAUGCACAAGGCCCAUUACUGCAUAGGGCUAUCAUUGGGCAGGUACAGAGUGGAAGAGCAGGGUUUGGACUAGGUGACUUGGAAAGCAGGAGGAGGCAGAUGGUAACUAGCUUUGUUCGCGAGCAAGAAAAGGAGUGGGCAGGUGAGGACAGAAAAUGCAAGUUGUGUUUGGAUGUUGGCUCAUUAAAACAUAUUUGGCCUGGAUAUGAAAGUAGCCUGACCCAGGGUCACUACAUGUGGAGACAUAAUGAGGUUACAAAAACAUUUGCAUGUUUGUUUGAGAAUGAAUGAGUUGAGGUUGACUCUUGCCAGUUAAAGACAGGGAAA